rnacentral:rRNA from 1 species
UUCAUGGAGAGUUUGAUCCUGGCUCAGGACGAACGCUGGCGGCGUGCCUAAUACAUGCAAGUCGAGCGGACAGAUGGGAGCUUGCUCCCUGAUGUUAGCGGCGGACGGGUGAGUAACACGUGGGUAACCUGCCUGUAAGACUGGGAUAACUCCGGGAAACCGGGGCUAAUACCGGAUGCUUGAUUGAACCGCAUGGUUCAAUUAUAAAAGGUGGCUUUUAGCUACCACUUACAGAUGGACCCGCGGCGCAUUAGCUAGUUGGUGAGGUAACGGCUCACCAAGGCGACGAUGCGUAGCCGACCUGAGAGGGUGAUCGGCCACACUGGGACUGAGACACGGCCCAGACUCCUACGGGAGGCAGCAGUAGGGAAUCUUCCGCAAUGGACGAAAGUCUGACGGAGCAACGCCGCGUGAGUGAUGAAGGUUUUCGGAUCGUAAAACUCUGUUGUUAGGGAAGAACAAGUACCGUUCGAA